CGUAGGGUGCGAGCGUUAAUCGGAAUUACUGGGCGUAAAGCGCGCGUAGGCGGUUUUGCAAGCCAGAGGUGAAAUGCCUGAGCUCAACUUAGGAAUUGCCUUUGGGACUGCGAGGCUUUGAGGACUGGAGAGGUGAGUGGAAUUCCCAGUGUAGAGGUGAAAUUCGUAGAUAUUGGGAAGAACACCGGUGGCGAAGGCGGCUCACUGGCCAGUUUCUGACGCUGCAGCGCGAAAGCGUGGGGAUCAAACAGGAUUAGAUACCCUGGUAGUCCACGCUGUAAACGAUGAGUGCUAGGCGUCGGCAUGCUUGCAUGUCGGUGCCGCAGCUAACGCGUGAAGCACUCCGCCUGGGGAGUACGGUCGCAAGAUUA
rnacentral:rRNA from 1 species